CCUACGGGUGGCAGCAGUGAGGAAUAUUGGUCAAUGGACGAGAGUCUGAACCAGCCAAGUAGCGUGAAGGAUGACUGCCCUAUGGGUUGUAAACUUCUUUUAUAAAGGAAUAAAACGAGGCACGUGUGCCUUUUUGCAUGUACUUUAUGAAUAAGGAUCGGCUAACUCCGUGCCAGCAGCCGCGGUAAUACGGAGGAUCCGAGCGUUAUCCGGAUUUAUUGGGUUUAAAGGGAGCGUAGAUGGGUUGUUAAGUCAGUUGUGAAAGGUUGCGGCUCAACCGUAAAAUUGCAAUUGAUACUGGCAGUCUUGAGUACAGUUGAGGUAAGCGGAAUUCGUGGUGUAGCGGUGAAAUGCUUAGAUAUCACGAAGAACCCCGAUUGCGAAGGCAGCUUACUAAACUGUGACUGACAUUGAUGCUCGAAAGUGUGGGUAUCAAACAGGAUUAGAUACCCCUGUAGUC
rnacentral:rRNA from 1 species